CCAGACUGUGGCUGACCAGAGG
rnacentral:miRNA from 1 species